AACGAACGCUGGCGGCAUGCCUAACACAUGCAAGUCGAACGAGACCUUCGGGCCUAGUGGCGCACGGCUGCGUAACGCGUGGGAACCUGCCCUUAGGUUCGGAAUAACUCCCCGAAAGGGGUCCUAAUACCGGAUAAUGUCUUCGGACCAAAGAUCUAUCGCCUUUGGAUGGGCCCGCGUUGGAUUAGCUAGUUGGUAGGGUAAAAGCCUACCAACGCGACGAUCCAUAGCUGGUCUGAUAGGAGGACAAGCCACACUGGAACUGAGACACGGCCCAGACUCGUACGCAAGGCUGCAGAGUGGAGCAUAGGGGGAGGGGGGCAGGCAUGAUCCAGCCGUGCCGCGUGAGAGGUGAAGGGCUUAGGAUUGUAAUGCCCUUUUUGCCGGGAUGUGAGUGACGGUACCGGGUGAAGAAGCUCCGGCUAACUACGUG
rnacentral:rRNA from 1 species